GACGAACGCUGGCGGCGUGCCUAAUACAUGCAAGUAGAACGCUGAAGGAGGAGCUUGCUUCUCUGGAUGAGUUGCGAACGGGUGAGUAACGCGUAGGUAACCUGCCUGGUAGCGGGGGAUAACUAUUGGAAACGAUAGCUAAUACCGCAUAAUAGUAGAUGUUGCAUGACAUUUGCUUAAAAGGUGCAAUUGCAUCACUACCAGAUGGACCUGCGUUGUAUUAGCUAGUUGGUGGGGUAACGGCUCACCAAGGCGACGAUACAUAGCCGACCUGAGAGGGUGAUCGGCCACACUGGGACUGAGACACGGCCCAGACUCCUACGGGAGGCAGCAGUAGGGAAUCUUCGGCAAUGGACGGAAGUCUGACCGAGCAACGCCGCGUGAGUGAAGAAGGUUUUCGGAUCGUAAAGCUCUGUUGGAAGAGAAGAACGAGGGUGAGAGUGGAAAGUUCACACUGUGACGGUAUCUAACCAGAAAGGGACGGCUAACUACGUG
rnacentral:rRNA from 1 species